AAGGCUUUAGUCUCCGAUGUCCGGAGGCCAAUGUAUUAUAGAAUCGGAAUUGCAUCCUCAAACUUACGUUUAACCGGUUUAUCCAACCUGUUUGGUUAAAAUUUAUAAAUAGCCGGUCUAAUUGUUUAACUGAAACGAUGUAAUUAAAUGUAUUACACUUUUACUUUGAAUCGGCUUAAGAUUAUCUACAACUAGAUAUAAGCCCGUGCAUUGCAACGGGUUUUGUUUGAUGUUUUAAUUUAAUAAAGAAAUAAAAGUAAUAAAUCAUUUUAUUAUAUGUUUAGGAUUGUUUUUGCAUAUGUUGUGUGAAACUUAUUUUAUAAUUAAGAACUCGUUUUUG
rnacentral:lncRNA from 1 species